rnacentral:rRNA from 1 species
UACGUAGGUGGCGAGCGUUGUCCGGAUUUACUGGGCGUAAAGGGUGCGUAGGCGGAUAUUUAAGUGAGAUGUGAAAUACCCGAGCUUAACUUGGGUGCUGCAUUUCAAACUGGAUAUCUAGAGUGUGGGAGAGGAGAAUGGAAUUCCUAGUGUAGCGGUGAAAUGCGUAGAGAUUAGGAAGAACACCAGUGGCGAAGGCGAUUCUCUGGACCAUGACUGACGCUGAGGCAUGAAAGCGUGGGUAGCAAACAGG